AACGAGCGCUGGCGGCAUGCCUAACACAUGCAAGUCGAACGAGACCUUCGGGUCUAGUGGCGCACGGGUGCGUAACGCGUGGGAACCUGCCCUUAGGUUCGGAAUAACUCCCCGAAAGGGGUGCUAAUACCGGAUAAUGUCUUCGGACCAAAGAUUUAUCGCCUUUGGAUGGGCCCGCGUUGGAUUAGCUAGUUGGUAGGGUAAAAGCCGACCAAGGCGACGAUCCAUAGCUGGUCUGAGAGGAUGAUCAGCCACACUGGGACUGAGACACGGCCCAGACUCCUACGGGAGGCAGCAGUGGGGAAUAUUGGACAAUGGGCGAAAGCCUGAUCCAGCAAUGCCGCGUGAGUGAUGAAGGCCUUAGGGUUGUAAAGCUCUUUUACCCGGGAUGAUAAUGACAGUACCGGGAGAAUAAGCUCCGGCUAACUCCGUG
rnacentral:rRNA from 1 species